rnacentral:misc_RNA from 1 species
UGCAGGGGCUGUAGUGCUCCAGGAU